rnacentral:rRNA from 1 species
ACGCACGCUGGCGGCGUGCUUCACCCCUGCAAGUCGAACGGAAAGGCCCUGCUUUUGUGGGGUGCUCGAGUGGCGAACGGGUGAGUAACACGUGAGUAACCUGCCCUUGACUUUGGGAUAACUUCAGGAAACUGGGGCUAAUACCGGAUAGGAGCUCCUGCUGCAUGGUGGGGGUUGGAAAGUUUCGGCGGUUGGGGAUGGACUCGCGGCUUAUCAGCUUGUUGGUGGGGUAGUGGCUUACCAAGGCUUUGACGGGUAGCCGGCCUGAGAGGGUGACCGGCCACAUUGGGACUGAGAUACGGCCCAGACUCCUACGGGAGGCAGCAGUGGGGAAUAUUGCACAAUGGGCGGAAGCCUGAUGCAGCAACGCCGUGUGCGGGAUGACGGCCUUCGGGUUGUAAACCGCUUUCGCCUGUGACGAAGCGUGAGUGACGGUAAUGGGUAAAGAAGCACCGGCUAACUACGUG